rnacentral:tRNA from 1 species
GGAGAGCUGUCCGAGUGGCCGAAGGAGCACGAUUGGAAAUCGUGUAUACGCUAACCGUGUAUCAAGGGUUCGAAUCCCUUGCUCUCCG